GGGACGAACGCUGGCGGCGUGCUUAACACAUGCAAGUCGAGCGGAAAGGCCCUUCGGGGUAUUCGAGCGGCGAACGGGUGAGUAACACGUGAGUAACCUGCCCCAUGCUUUGGGAUAACCCUCGGAAGCGGGGGCUAAUACCGAAUAUUCACUGUCUGCCGCAUGGUGGAGGGUGGAAAGUUUUUCGGCGUGGGAUGGGCUCGCGGCCUAUCAGCUUGUUGGUGGGGUAAUGGCCUACCAAGGCGAGGACGGGUA
rnacentral:rRNA from 1 species